CUGUUUUCUUCUUCCCCAAUUCAUUCGAAAUUGCCCCGCAUGAAAAUUUCCUCCCUCGCUCGCGUCUCGUCGUUGCUCUGCCCACCGCCACCGUCGGCGCCGCCUCUCUGAGCGACCCUCCCUCUGCCCAAACCAAGAUUGCGCAGUUUGAAAAGGUAAGCGGAGACCGAUUUAUUCUCUACCUAGUGAGGAUGUAAGUACCACGUAAUUACUCUGCCCAGCAACGCCCCCGUCGACCCUCCCAUCCUCUCCCGACUAAGUUCUACUCUACAUUCGGCAUUCUUCUGAUGUUUGCUUCCCUUUAUGUUUUCCUUGAAAAGAACAUGAACUGAAAAGUUCAACUCAACUGGAAGAUGCGAUGUUGUUGUUUUAGUCGUACCCAGAUCAUAAAACAGUUAAUAGUUUUAGAUUCAUGAUGGGGUUUUUCCUUUUCUUGGAUUUUCACGGAAACCCAAUAUAGGAUUUUCUUGGAUUUUCACGGCAAACAGUUAAUACUAGUGAUUUACACUAGUAAAUCAGACAAGCACAAGAAAUGGUUCUCGUUGAUUGAUGCGGUAACGUUGUCACAUAAGAGGGUUCUGCUACCUGUUAAAAAACUUCGUGAGUCUUCUCUUGUUAGCAGCGAGUUGCAUAGGACACUGUAUGGCUUUAUUCUAUUUGACGUUUCAUGGAACAAUGUCCGAGGCAUCAAUUACUUGAAUGAGCUUCAGGGAAGACACUGCUUGCAAAAACACUAGCUCGAUUUGUGAACGUGCCCUUUGUCAUCGUUGAUGCAACAACUUUGACACAGGUGCAUCACUUUUCCAACUGUGGGGUAAGAUGGUGCUUUUAAUUUCUGGGACAAAGACAAUAAACAGAGACUCAAGUUGUGUCAAGAAGUGCUGCUGCAAGAUGGGCAGGGGAAAGAUUGAGAUCUAGAUGAUUGAUGACGUACACUACCAAUCGUCAAGUCACCUUCUGCAAGCGGAUUAAUGAACUCUUGAAGAAAGCUUGUGCUGUUACUUGUGCUAUUUGCUUGUGCUGUUGCUUGCUUGGUAUGACACCAAGGCUUCUGAAGUGUAACUGUGGUUUUGAUGUGUUGUACAGUGGAGGAAAAGCUAGAUUAGUGCUAAAAGUAUGCACAUUGGAGGAAACAAGAAAAUGAGACUACUUAGAUUAGAAUCUUGGAUUUUGGAAUAUUGGAUUUUGUAAUGAAUAUUAUGAGACUACUUAGGUCGUAAUAAGCUGCUUUGUAAUGUUGUAUCCAAUUGGAAUGAAUAUUAUGACUCAAUAUUUUACUAGAUGACUUAAUCUAAGGAUGGUUAUUUGAUGGCAGUGUAAA